rnacentral:rRNA from 1 species
CAGUAGCCGCGGUAAAACAGAGGAUGCAAGCGUUAUCCGGAAUGAUUGGGCGUAAAGCGUCUGUAGGUGGCUUUUCAAGUCCGCCGUCAAAUCCCAGGGCUCAACCCUGGACAGGCGGUGGAAACUACCAAGCUGGAGUACGGUAGGGGCAGAGGGAAUUUCCGGUGGAGUGGUGAAAUGCGUUGAGAUCGGAAAGAACACCAAAGGCGAAAGCACUCUGCUGGGCCGACACUGACACUGAGAGACGAAAGCUAGGGGAGCAAAUGGGAUUAGAUACCCGCGUAGUCCCUGUCUCUUAUAC